CGACAGACAAGAGGCUUGACGCUUUUCAUCUGUUCUCUGCAAGGAAGGUGUUGGCUUUCUGCGCUCUUGGAUCCCUUAGUGUUGUCCCGGCUAAGCUGUAUUUCUGUUUUGGUGUUUAUUCGCCUCGGCCAUAAAAUGGACCCCUGGGCAUUUCUGAAACCUCCCAUCAAAUUGAUGAUGGCCUGCCAAAUUACAGUCCUCCCUUAGGUAUAGUCUUAUGAAAAAGUAAUGCCACACUGGAAGACAAGAUCAUGAUGAGAAGGCCUCUCCAAAGAAAGGGAAGUCAGUGACUGCUGAGAAGGGACAUGAUGACUUUUCCAGCUAAUUCCUACAAAGUGUUCUGCAAAGGUAGUGAUCCGGUCAGCCAGCUCGCCAAUAGUAAUACUGCAGGAACCAAAUAUACGGAAAAAGCUCUGCAUUUCUUGAAGCAAGAAUCUUAUUUCUAAGAUCUCUGGCUUGGGUUUCAGCAAAUUUUCCUGAUGUAGGAGAUCAGCCACAGAAUACAGUUCGUAGAAGUCA